ensembl:lncRNA
GGGUCGCUAAGUCGGACAAGACUGAGCGACUUCACUUUCACUUUUCACUUUGAUGCAUUGGAGAAGGAAAUGGCAACCCACUCCAGUGUUCUUGCCUGGAGAAUCCCAGGGAUGGUGGAGCCUGAUGGGCUGCCGUCUAUGGGGUCACACAGAGUCGGACACGACUGAAGCGACUUAGCAGCAGCAGCGGCAGUAGCUCAGAUGGUAAAGCAGGAUUUAAGACUUUCUUUUGCUGGAAUUCCCCAGCAGUCCAGUGCUUAGGACUCUGCAUUUUCAGAAUCUCAGUUCCCUGACCACGGGCUAAACCCCAGCCACAGCAGUGAAAGUCUAGAAUCCUAACUAUGCGGCCACCAGGGAACUCCCAGUAUUUUCUUACAGUAAAGGAAAAAGGUGUUGGGUCACUGUUGGUCGAAACCUGUCUGGAACAGAGUGGAGCCUUCCUCCUGGGGCAGGUCUGAGCUGAGGCCCCUCCUCUCCGAGCCUCCUCCCUGCUGUUCAUCCCCCUACCUUUCUGACCUGCCAGCUCCUCCUCCCCUAAUCUUGAUUUUGAUUACAAGAGAAACUCCUACAAGUGGACGUUGCCGGCCCUGCCGCUCUCUGGCCUCAGCAGUCUUCCCAGGUCCCGCUGCCGUGGUAGCAGGUGGUCACUGGCCUGAGUGCCCCUCCAAGCCUGUCCACUCACACAGCCAUGAAUCCGGUGGAGGCUACCUCUCCUUGCCCUCCACGCAGGCCUCCUCUGCCUGUUGGACACCAUGGCUGCCCUCCUGCUGCCAGGGACCACCCCACUCCGAACUGACCUCCAGUCUCCAUCUGUGACCUCCAGAUAAACUGAGGCUGGGGUGGCCACUGUGCACAUGGACCAUGCCCAGACCCCACCUCCAGAGGGCGGGGAUAUGCUCAAAGGUGUGGCGGAGCCUGGAACAGGGAGAAGCCAGGCUCACCAUAACCAGCCACAGUCACCCCCAAGUCUAGACAGCCUCUAGGGCACCCAGGACCUGUCCCCACUCAGUGCCCAUCUUCUGGGAGGGUCAGCUUACCCCUAGUGUUCACCCGGGUCCUUUGCAGGUUGGGUCCCGGGCCAAUCCCCACCCACAUGCCCUCUUUAAAAAGAAAAAUUUUUUUUAAUUGGAGUAAUGUUGAUUUACAAUGUGGUGCUAGUUUCUGCUGUACAGAAAAAUGAAUCAGUUAUACCUACACAUAUAUCCACUUUUUUCCUUCAGAUUCUAUUCCCAUAUAGAUCUUUACAGGGCUGCUCAGGUGGUGCUAGUGGUCAAGAAUCCGCCUGCCAAUGCAGAAGAUGUCAGGAGACGCAAGUUGGGAAGAUCUCCUGGAGAAGGAAAUGGCAACCUGCUCCAGUAUCUUGUCUGGAAAAUUCCGUGGACAGAGGAGCCUGGUGGGCUAUAACCCAUGGGGUCAUAAAGAGGCUGAUACGACUGAGUGACUGAACACACAUAGGUCUUCACAGAGUACUGAGUAGAGUUCUCUGUGCUGCGCUGUAGGUUUUGUGUAUUUUAUACAUAGUAGUGUGUAAAUCGGAGAAGGCAAGAAUGCUGGAGUGGGUUGUCGUUCCCUUCUCCAUGACAUCUUCCUGAGCUAGGGAUUGAACCCGGGUCUCCUGCAUUGCAGGGAGAUUCUUUACCAUCUGAGCCACCAGGGAAGGCCAUCUCCCAAUUUAUCCUUCCCUCCUCCUUUCCCCCUGGUAGGGACAAGUUUGUUUUCUACAUCUCCCACACAGCCUCUCUGAAUUCUCCCUGGAGGGUGGUGUUGGGGAUCUGGCCUCUUUAAGAAAAAGUAACUGGAGAACUUGAGCCUGUCCGAGGACCUCAGUCGAGGUGGGGGCAGUGGAGGCCCAGAAUGCUCUGUCUUGACCAAAUGGGACACUGGACCUAGAGAACAGUCUCUUCAGAGGGUUGCGAUCCCCACUCCCAUUUUAUUUAUUUAUUUAUUUUUUCUUUUUUGUCUGCCUAUAAAUAAGACUUGCUUUCUUUUCUCCAGUUACUCAAUUGUUAAUUCAAACUAUUGAACCUAAUUUGGUAGGAGGAAAGAUUUUCCUCCCAACAGAGGGGAUGCAGAAGAUUGGAGGAAAAUGGGGGUGACUGCUAAUGGGUAGGGGGUUUAGUUGGAGGGUUAGUGAAAAUAUCUAAACAUUGAUUGUGAUGAUGGCUGCAUAACUCUGUGAAGUUACUAAAACCCAUCAUAUUGUACACAUUAAAUGGUUGAAUUUAAUGGUAUGGGAGUUAUAUCUUCAUAAAGUUCCUAUUUUAAAAGAUUCUUUAAAUUCUUCCUCUCAAAUCCUCAGCCUGCUUUUCCUACCAUGCCUAGUCUGAUUAUCAUGAUUCUUACUCAUCUUAUCCAAUCAAGUCCCU